ACAAUAAAGUUAAGUCAGCAACCGUCUACCAGACUGCAAGAUUCAUCUCUUCCAAAGGAUGUCGUACCUUUCCAGAUACACUGUGUUUUGUGUGGAUAAGAAAUGCAGAGUGGUACCACCAAUCACCUAAGCCACCAUUCCCCUAACAGACAAUAGGCUCAUGGGGACAGUUCCUGCAAUUUACAGAAAAGCUCUCAAUUGUAGCCCUACGAACUUCAGAUACUGCCGAUGGUGAAGCUUGGGUGCACCGGGCCGGUUUUCCAGCCGUGUGGAAUCAAC